UGGCUUUGUCAUUCUCGGGCUGUGCCAGGCCACUGUGCAACAGCCUCGGAGAACAUUUUGGCCCAAAUCUACUUUUCAUAGACCCCUUUCAUUUCUAGCGGCCUCCCUAGCUGCCCGAGCUGGGUUCGAGCCUCCCAGGGCCAAGCCAACCGCCGAUGGUACGGGCCAACAUCCUUCUGUUUUCGGUUCCCUUAUUACAGGAUGUGCCGUCCUGGCAGGGCCUGGUGGGAGAUGAGGAAGAAGCGAAGAAAGCAUACUGCAUGCUUCUGAUGCAAGGAAUGCAUUUACAAGUCAGGAUAUCCCUGCUUCCAGUUGGGAGCUGCAAUCCCAUGUUGAGGCUGGACCCCAAUACAAGGGUAGGCUAUAUGGAUCUGUUCUAAACUGUUUGUUAGGAUUCUGUAUCAUGUAUUGGUUCACGUAUGCAUUUAUGGCUCCCAAAUGACCUGCAUGUAAGCCAUAGAAAAAGGCCUGCAGGUAACUGAUACAGACAGUGAAGAAGAACCUAGAGUGAGAGAUGAGAGUAGAAAGCAAGAUUCCAGAUGAGUACCAGUGUCACCUGGGAAGCCCUACUGCAGCCUUAUUCCUUCAGAACUCUGGGACGGGCCCCGUGAUGAGCUUUAAUAAACUUUAGUGGACUCUGACGUGAGUGCACUGAUCCUGACCAGUGCUCGCUACACUCUGGGCGCAUUUGCGAACUGCGUGAUCAGGAUGAUCGCAGUGGGCCAUCGUGAUGAACUGCAGAAAGGGCAUUCGAGAUUCGAGGAUAAUUCUAGCAGCUCAAAAGUGUUUUAAUCAACAGAAAGAGGAGUCCUUGAGUUCCAUUAUCAAAUAAAACUACAGCUGUAGCUCAAU
rnacentral:lncRNA from 1 species